rnacentral:rRNA from 1 species
AACGACCAUACCAUGCUGAAUAUACCGGUUCUCGUUAGAUCACCGAAGUCAAGCAUCAUUGGGCGCGGUCAGUACUUGGGUGGGGGACCACCUGGGAACACCGCGUGCCGUU